GUUGUUUUGUGAGAAUGUUGAUGAAAUUGUUUAUUCCUCUAACCUUCAAAUGCUAGCUCGAAAAAUAGUUGACUCGUGCUGCUACCAUUCGCAUGCCAUCUUUCUAAUGUCAAAGGCAUUGAAAGAUGAAUCUGAUGUUGAUGUUUGGAACAAUGCGAUUGAAACAAUGAACAUGCAGCCUGCAUCUCCUGAACAAGAAUUAGAACACAUCAUGGUUAAUGUGUUAAAAUUCAGCUAUCUUCGUCUUCCUGAUGAUACAACUAGAAGAUGCUUGAAAAAUGGUGCACCGUUUUUUGUGAACGAGAAGAUUGCAGGAGAGUCAUUGAUAGACAACUGGAUAUCUGAUGACCUGACAGAUACGCAUCAGAAAGGCCGAAAUGUUCUUGAAACUCUUGUCACUGCUGGCCUGUUGGAGAGGUCCGAGGAUGGUAAGUUCUUCACGCUACAUGAGAUAGAUCGCUGUAUAUUGCUAGAGUAUAUUGUUCCAACAGAGGAAGCUCAAGUAUUAUUUCUUAUUAAUGGUGGUAUGGGGUUGACUAAGCCACCAAAGGUUGAGCAAUGGGAGGGGUUAAUUGAGAUUUGUUUGAUGGAUAAUGAAAUAUCUGAAUUGCCCAUUAGUCCAAGUUGCCCCAAACUCCGAAAAUUGUUCCUCGAAAGAAACUACAAGUUAAGAAUCAUACCUCCUUCAUUUUUUGAUAAUAUGCCAGCUCUCCAGGUUCUAAACUUAUCUAGAACUUCUAUCAAAUCUUUGCCUGAGUCUCUUUUCAAGUUGUUCAACCUUAGAAGGCUCUUUCUAAAUCAUUGUGACCUUAUCACAACCUUGUCAUCCAAAGUUGGAGAACUCAAGCAACUUGAAGUACUUGAUCUUGAAGGGACAGAGAUCAUGUAUUUGCCCAAGGAGGUUGGACAAUUGACAAAUCUCACAUGCUUGGAAGUUUCAUUUUUUGAACCUACAAGUCAGAGGAGAUUAGAGCAAUCAGGUGAAAUAAUUCCUUGUGGGGCUAUAUCAGCUUUAUCUCAAUUAGAAGAGUUAAAUAUUGAUAUGAGUUAUGAUGACAAGCGGUGGAAUGCAUCAGCAGAAGCUGUUGUUUCUGAGAUUUGUAAAUUGGAGAGUUUGCAUACGCUUAAAGUCUACUUUCCCAAGGUGAAACUUUUGAGCCAUUUACACUGGAAUGAAGAAAAUAUGGCGUUUCCAUCAUUGUCGUACUUUAAAUUCACAGUUGGUCAUCUUGUUGAGCGUAUCAUAUCUCGAGUCUCAUGUGAUACAGAAUUGGAGCUUGAACGACACGAUAGGUACUUGAAGUACGUAAAUGGUGAAGGUGUUCCUGGAGAUAUUAAGAAGGUGCUUAGACAUUCAACUGCAUUUUUCUUGGACCGCAACUCGACUAUUAGCAGGUUAUCCGAUUUUGGCUACAGAAAUAUGCAGCAAUUAAAAUGUCUUGUAGCAGGGCAAUGCAACGAACUUCAAGCAAUUAUCGGUGGAGAUCAAAUUGAGUCAUCAUCUUGUGAUGCAACGGUUGGUCUUGUUUCACUAGAAUACAUGCACAUAUAUUACAUGAAGAAUCUAAGGAGCAUAUGGGAAGGUCCUGUGAAUGACUCUAGCUUCAAUUCAUUGAAGUGCUUGACCUUGCGCACAUGUCCAGAGCUUACCACUGUCUUCACGCCAUGGUUGCUUGCAAAUUUCUCCAAUCUUGAAGAGCUCACGAUUCGUGAUUGUCCCAAAAUCACAACCUUAGUGAGUUGCGAUAGUUGUGAUCAUAAUAUCACUUCCAUUCUCCCAGCCUUGAAGAGGAUAUCACUUCAUUUCUUGCCAAAAUUGACUAGCAUCUCCAGUGGUUUGCUCAUGGCACCAAUGUUGGAAUUGAUGAGCUUCCAAUAUUGCCUGAACCUCAAGAGUCUCCCAAUAAGCAAAGCUUUCAAUGAGAAUCUGAGAAAGAUCAAGGGCGAGGAGAGUUGGUGGCAAGAAUUGAAGUGGGAAGGUACUCAUCAUGAUUCUUGGGCUGACAUUUUUGUUCCAAUUGAUUAAUGUAAUCAAAUCAUGUUGUGACUUGAGGAGCUGAUGGGGCUGAGUUCUCUUUUAUGCUUCUUUAUGAUGGGGCAGGGUUUUCUUUAUUGAGAUUGGGUUGUGGUAUACACGUUUGCAUGCUGCCUGCGUAAACACUCUUCUCUGUGUGUUCUUGUUUUGGUCUUGUUUUGACAGAUGUAACUUCUGUUGGUCUGUAUAUGAUCCAGAUUUUUCCACUUACAAUAAUCAGCCAUAGGUUGGUAUCCUUAGAGUUGGUCUAUUGACCAUGGUUUUAGUCUGACUGAUUCUGCCUAAGUUUUUCCUAUUUUUUUUCAUUAAUAUAUUUCUGAUUAAUUAAAAAAAAUAUAUAAUGAAUGUGUUUAAUGGACGUUAUGUUUAAUUCAUAUUAAACUUUUCCUUGGCAAUUUCAUCCUUCUUAAAAAUGAGUUUAUUUGGACUGAUUGGGGCUGAUAUGUAAUUGGCUAAAAACUUAAAAAUGGGUAUAUUUCAAACACUUUAGGGGCAAAAUUCAACUUUUCUCCUAUGUAAAUACUUAGACAACUUGAACAUUUCAUCAACCCACUACCAAAAAAACACAUUCACGAAUGCCCCAAAGCAAGCAAGCUCACCACUCGAGAAAGAAGGCCAAGGAAAGGUUGGUCUGCGGACAACCUAAACCAAGUCCAGUCCAUUACCGAAAGGCCCAAACACCAUACUUCGAUCCAAUUGGAAUAAAGCCAUUAUAUUUAUCAUUUUAUUUAUCAAGUAAAAAUCAAAUAAUUAUAGUGGUCGCAGCAAUCUCAGAUGUGCAAGUCUACUACAGCUAUUAAAUAAAGAAACUACAGUACUCUAAAAAUAACAAAAUACACUAAAAAUAA
rnacentral:misc_RNA from 1 species